UCGAGGCCCCCAGCCCCUCAGCCCCGCUGAGCGGGAGGGGCCCCGGUGGGGGACAGAGCAAAGCUACUCUGAAGAAGGGGAUGAACUUGACUUGCAGUAGACUCCAGGGCAAGAGGGAAAUCAGAGAAACAUUUGGGAGUAGAAAGAGUCCACCCUGGGUUCAAAUCCCAGCUCUGGCACUGACGAUAUUUCCGUUUCCUCCUCCAUAAAAUUUAGGGGACAAUAAGAGAAAGAAAACAGCUAAGCCCACCUACUCCAGAUCCUGGCAUACAUUUCUCUGCAGAUGUGCUGUGUGACCCAGGACAAGAUGCUUUGCCCUCUGAGCUGGUGAAAACGAAGAUGAUGCUCCCUUCAUGUUAGGCUGAAAUAGAACACAAACAGAGACGCGGCAAGAUGAUGAACAUCCUUCCAAAUUUUCCAUUAGACUGGGUUGGCUACCUUUAAAAAUAAGAACAAAACAAAAAUAAUCCUCAGAAAAGCCUCAUGAAGUUCAAAAGCUCCAUUGCACAUGUUGCCUCCAAAGGGGCAAGAAUUUUGCCAUUGUCACCCCUGUAUUCCCCUCCUAAAACAGAACCUGGCAUAUAGUAGGUGCUCAAUAAAUAUUGGUUGAAUUGA